GUUGUAUGGUUAAGUGACUAAGCGUACACGGUGGAUGCCUUGGCAGUCAGAGGCGAUGAAAGACGUAGUAACUUGCGAUAAGCCCAGAUUAGGUAGUAACAACCAUUUGAGUCUGGGAUUUCUGAAUGGGGAAACCCACGUGCAUAAGCACGUAUCCUUACCUGAAUACAUAGGGUAAGGAGGCGAACCGGGGGAACUGAAACAUCUAAGUACCCCGAGGAAAAGAAAUCAACCGAGAUUCCGAAAGUAGCGGCGAGCGAAAUUGGACUAGCCCUUAAGCUUUACACGCGUUAGACGAACGGUCUGGAAAGUCCGACGAUACAGGGUGAUAGUCCCGUAGUUGACGACGUGUGUUCAGUGAAAUCGAGUAGGGCGGGACACGUGAUAUCCUGUCUGAAUAUGGGGGGACCAUCCUCCAAGGCUAAAUACUACUGACUGACCGAUAGUGAACCAGUACCGUGAGGGAAAGGCGAAAAGAACCCCUGUGAGGGGAGUGAAAUAGAACCUGAAACCGUGUACGUACAAGCAGUAGGAGCAGGCUUUGUCCUGUGACUGCGUACCUUUUGUAUAAUGGGUCAGCGACUUAUAUUCAGUGGCAAGGUUAACCAUCUAGGGGAGCCGUAGGGAAACCGAGUCUUAACUGGGCGUUCAGUCUCUGGAUAUAGACCCGAAACCAGGUGAUCUAGCCAUGGGCAGGUUGAAGGUUGAGUAACAUCAACUGGAGGACCGAACCGACUAAUGUUGAAAAAUUAGCGGAUGACUUGUGGCUAGGGGUGAAAGGCCAAUCAAACCUGGAGAUAGCUGGUUCUCCCCGAAAGCUAUUUAGGUAGCGCCUCGGACGAAUACUACUGGGGGUAGAGCACUGUUAAGGCUAGGGGGUCAUCCCGACUUACCAACCCUUUGCAAACUCCGAAUACCAGUAAGUACUAUCCGGGAGACACACGGCGGGUGCUAACGUCCGUCGUGGAGAGGGAAACAACCCAGACCGCCAGCUAAGGUCCCAAAUUACUACUAAGUGGGAAACGAUGUGGGAAGGCUCAGACAGCCAGGAUGUUGGCUUAGAAGCAGCCAUCAUUUAAAGAAAGCGUAAUAGCUCACUGGUCGAGUCGGCCUGCGCGGAAGAUGUAACGGGGCUAAGUAGUAAACCGAAGCUGCGGCAAUAUACUUUUGUAUAUUGGGUAGGGGAGCGUUCUGUAAGCGGUUGAAGGUGUGUGGUAACGCAUGCUGGACGUAUCAGAAGUGCGAAUGCUGACAUGAGUAACGAUAAAGGGGGUGAAAAACCUCCUCGCCGGAAGACCAAGGGUUCCUGUCCAACGUUAAUCGGGGCAGGGUAAGUCGACCCCUAAGGCGAGGCCGAAAGGCGUAGUCGAUGGGAAACGGGUUAAUAUUCCCGUACUUCUUACAAUUGCGAUGGGGGGACGGAGAAGGCUAGGUGGGCCUGGCGACGGUUGUCCAGGUUCAAGUGCGUAGGCUGAGAGAUUAGGUAAAUCCGGUUUCUCUUAAGGCUGAGACACGACGUCGAGCACCUACGGGUGUGAAGUCAUUGAUGCCAUGCUUCCAGGAAAAGCCUCUAAGCUUCAGAUUGUAAGGAAUCGUACCCCAAACCGACACAGGUGGUCGGGUAGAGAAUACCAAGGCGCUUGAGAGAACUCGGGUGAAGGAACUAGGCAAAAUGGUACCGUAACUUCGGGAGAAGGUACGCUCUUGAUGGUGAAGUCCCUCGCGGAUGGAGCUAUUGAGAGUCGCAGAUACCAGGUGGCUGCAACUGUUUAUUAAAAACACAGCACUGUGCAAAAUCGUAAGAUGACGUAUACGGUGUGACGCCUGCCCGGUGCCGGAAGGUUAAUUGAUGGGGUUAGACUUCGGUCGAAGCUCUUGAUCGAAGCCCCGGUAAACGGCGGCCGUAACUAUAACGGUCCUAAGGUAGCGAAAUUCCUUGUCGGGUAAGUUCCGACCUGCACGAAUGGCGUAAUGAUGGCCACGCUGUCUCCACCCGAGACUCAGUGAAAUUGAAAUCGCUGUGAAGAUGCAGUGUACCCGCGGCUAGACGGAAAGACCCCGUGAACCUUUACUACAGCUUGGCACUGAACAUUGACCCUACAUGUGUAGGAUAGGUGGGAGGCUUUGAAGCACGUACGCCAGUAUGUGUGGAGCCGUCCUUGAAAUACCACCCUUGUAGUGUUGAUGUUCUAACGUCGACCCCUUAUCGGGGUUGCGGACAGUGCCUGGUGGGUAGUUUGACUGGGGCGGUCUCCUCCCAAAGAGUAACGGAGGAGCACGAAGGUGGGCUAAUCACGGUUGGACAUCGUGAGGUUAGUGCAAUGGCAUAAGCCCGCUUGACUGCGAGAAUGACAAUUCGAGCAGGUGCGAAAGCAGGUCAUAGUGAUCCGGUGGUUCUGAAUGGAAGGGCCAUCGCUCAACGGAUAAAAGGUACUCCGGGGAUAACAGGCUGAUACCGCCCAAGAGUUCAUAUCGACGGCGGUGUUUGGCACCUCGAUGUCGGCUCAUCACAUCCUGGGGCUGAAGUCGGUCCCAAGGGUAUGGCUGUUCGCCAUUUAAAGUGGUACGCGAGCUGGGUUUAGAACGUCGUGAGACAGUUCGGUCCCUAUCUGCCGUGGGCGUUGGAAGAUUGAAGGGGGCUGCUCCUAGUACGAGAGGACCGGAGUGGACGAACCUCUGGUGUUCGGGUUGUGUCGCCAGACGCAUUGCCCGGUAGCUAAGUUCGGAAUCGAUAACCGCUGAAAGCAUCUAAGCGGGAAGCGAGCCCUGAGAUGAGUCUUCCCUGAUACUUUAAGUAUCCUAAAGGGUUGUCGGAGACUACGACGUUGAUAGGUCAGGUGUGUAAGUGCUGUGAGGCAUUGAGCUAACUGAUACUAAUUGCCCGUGAGGCUUAACCAUACAACACCCAAGGGGUUU
rnacentral:rRNA from 1 species